rnacentral:rRNA from 1 species
UACAGAGGCCUCGAGCGUUAGGCGGAAUCACUGGGCUUAAAGCGUGUGUAGGUGGAUGCCUAAGUACCUUGUGAAAUCCCACGGCUUAACCGUGGAAUUGCUUGGUAUACUGGGCGUCUUGAGCCACUCAGGGGCGAGCGGAACAAAUGGUGGAGCGGUGAAAUGCGUAGAUAUCAUUUGGAACGCCAAUGGUGAAAACAGGUAGCUGGGGAUGUGCUGACGCUGAGACACGAAAGCCAGGGGAGCGAACGGG